AAAUUGACGGGAAACCCGCACAAGCGGUGGAGUAUGUUGUUUAAUUCGAAGAUACACGAAGAACCUUUACCAACCCUUGACAUCGAGAUCGCGGUUUCCAGAGAUUGGAUUCCUUCAGUUCGGCUGGAUCUUAGACAGGUGUUGCAUGGCUGUCGUCAGCUCGUGUCGUGAGAUGUUGGGUUAAGUCCCGCAACGAGCGCAACCCUCGCCUUUAGUUGCCAUCAUUAAGUUGGGCACUCUAGAGGGACUGCCGGUGAUAAGCCGGAGGAAGGUGGGGAUGACGUCAAGUCCUCAUGGCCCUUAUGGGUUGGGCUACACACGUGCUACAAUGGCGGCGACAAUGGGCAGCGAAGGGGCGACCCGGUGCAAAUCCCAAAAAGCCGUCUCAGUUCGGAUUGCACUCUGCAACUCGAGUGCAUGAAGGUGGAAUCGCUAGUAAUCGCGUAACAGCAUGACGCGGUGAAUACGUUCCCGGGCCUU
rnacentral:rRNA from 1 species